AACUACAAAGAAAAGCCCCAUGUUAUGCCAAAGCAUGACUGUAGCACAGGUAAAGAGGAAGAUUUCAGAAUCAUCACUUGACAGAAUUCUCCCAGUAUUCUGAUGUGAAUGGUGGAACAUGUUAUUUGUAAAAAUACAAAAAAAAAAAAAAAAAAAAGGAACGACAGUAAACAAUACAUUGUUAAUGUUUUGAUUGUAUUCAAAUUUUUAUUUUGAACAAAAAACUUAAUACAAUGAUUUUAAAUAAUAAAACGUGGUAUAUUCUAGACACUUGUUGGUUUCUUUUUUAAACAGUUUAUUAAAUUUGGACUCCUACAGUUCUGUUGUGAUGCUUUCUUCAACAUUUAUAGUAUUUACCAUAUUAUCACCACUCUAAACUUGCUAAACAAAGAAUCACUCUAAGUGAAGCCUGAAGCUUCACUUUAUCACAUAAAACACACAUACAGAACAGUCAUUUUUUAUAUUUACAAAACACAAGAAGUCUGUCCAGCCAUUUGGAUUUGUUGUUACAUUGCCCAGACUGAGAUUAGCAAAAAGCUAAGGAAUAAGCAAGAUUUCACUACAGCCGCACAAAAGAUGGCCUCAACCAGACUUCAUCAAACAAACCAACAAAUUACAAACAUAGUCAGCAAAAUUCAACUUGUGUAAUAGAGAUAAAAAACAAACAAAAAAAAACACAAA